GCGCCGGCGCCCCCGCGCGGGGCGGCGCUGCCGGAAGCGCCCGUCACAUGGCCGCGCGGCGCUGCCAUAAACACACCAAGAUGGCGGCCCUCACGCCGCCCAGCCCGUGCUGCGUCAUGGCCCGGCCGCGCCGCCGCCGCCCCGGCCGCCGCCGCAGGUCCCGCGGCCGCGGAAGCCCGUUCGAGGCCGGUGUCGGGCACGGGAUGCGCCGGCCCAGGAACCCGCCAGAUGCUUCAUGUUUGUCUCUCCAUUGCCCUCUUGAGUUCAAAACCUGUAAGACACCAUUUUGAUAGCUGGACGCAGCUGAAUGUUACCUAUUUCUCUCUUUUGAAAGCAGCCUGUAUAACAUAUCAGGAUAUACUUUUUUCAGUGCAGUUCUUUAAUUCACAAGCUUGUAUUUGGGUCCUGUGACCUAAAAUGCCAGCCACAUACUCGGAGUACCUGAAGCCUCUAGGCACCUCUUCUGCUCAUUCCCGCUGCAGUCGCUUCUGGACGCAGCAGACUGGCGUCUGCCUAUUUGGUGCUGCUCCCAUCGAAGGUACUGGUAGGUGUAGGAAUGGGCUUCUGCCCUCCCAGCUCUACAAAGACACACGUGACAAACUUUCGUUAAGCCCAGCUGAACAUGUUUGCAGCGCUGUAAAAUCCCACGGUGCUGCUGUUUUGGUAAGAGCGUAGCGUGCUCGGAGCGGCGUGCAGCACAGUCACGGUGAGGUGCUGCCCUCUCACUCCCUCUGCUAAUGGUCCCCGUCCUCAGCUGCUGCAAGCUGCAUAGCUCCAUUAACUUACCUGGCUCUCGGCCAGUUAUACCCACUGGCUGGCUCAUGAUAUUCAAUACUUAAGUAGCAUAAACAUCAAAUGCUGUUUUCCAGCUCCAGUGAAUUUAAAGGAGGUGGGAGGGGAGCACCCUCAUUUUCUCUAGUGGUGUUUGCAGAGUGGGCAUGUUACCCUUUCUCCAUUAAAUCCAGCAUUAUUAGGUUUGGCAUUUUAAGGCUGAUUGGGCAGAAGAAGCUACUUUGUUUUGUUUUUUUCUUAAAAACACUUUGAGCUGCACUGAAGGUACCACCACGUUCAUUAAGAUACUACUCAUUACCUGGAAAGCUUGCCAGACUGUAACCUCAGAUGUGAAGCCGCUUUUGUUAAAUGGUCAUCAAGUUUCUGAGCCAUUCACCUGGCAGUUGGGCACCUGUGUUUGGAGUGAUUCCCGUUUCCGAGACAUGCGGGAUGAGAAGACGGAGGAGUUGCCCGCUCGGCUCAGCGGCGUUGCAGAGGGGACGCCGGUGGCUGCAAUGACUGACAGGCUGCCCUGGCUCAGUUAUCACAGUGCUGAUGCUGUCUCUUGUAAAGGUACAGUACUGUGAUAACUGAAGGAUGGCAGCCAUCUGAGCUUCACAGGGCUGCCGAGCCACGAGCGGGGCUUCACUCGGAGGGGGAUUGAAGGACUUCACAUAUCGACUACGAUGCAGCACGGUGCUGAAGUGGAAGAUGAUCAUUUUAAGUGUACCUCUUAACUCGGCUGAAGGGGAGGGGGAAAUCGAUGGUUAAGAUGCUUCUAGUUUUACUUGAAUAAAAAUUAUGCUUAAUCUGUA